GACGAACGCUGGCGGCGUGCUUAACACAUGCAAGUCGAACGGAAAGGCCCUUCGGGGUACUCGAGUGGCGAACGGGUGAGUAACACGUGGGUGAUCUGCCCUGCACUCUGGGAUAAGCCUGGGAAACUGGGUCUAAUACCGGAUAGGACCACACACUUCAUGGUGAGUGGUGCAAAGCUUUUGCGGUGUGGGAUGAGCCCGCGGCCUAUCAGCUUGUUGGUGGGGUAAUGGCCCACCAAGGCGACGACGGGUAGCCGGCCUGAGAGGGUGACCGGCCACACUGGGACUGAGAUACGGCCCAGACUCCUACGGGAGGCAGCAGUGGGGAAUAUUGCACAAUGGGCGCAAGCCUGAUGCAGCGACGCCGCGUGAGGGAUGACGGCCUUCGGGUUGUAAACCUCUUUCAGUAGGGACGAAGCGAAAGUGACGGUACCUACAGAAGAAGGACCGGCCAACUACGUGCCAGCAGCCGCGGUAAUACGUAGGGUCCGAGCGUUGUCCGGAAUUACUGGGCGUAAAGAGCUCGUAGGUGGUUUGUCGCGUUGUUCGUGAAAACUCACAGCUUAACUGUGGGCGUGCGGGCGAUACGGGCAGACUAGAGUACUGCAGGGGAGACUGGAAUUCCUGGUGUAGCGGUGGAAUGCGCAGAUAUCAGGAGGAACACCGGUGGCGAAGGCGGGUCUCUGGGCAGUAACUGACGCUGAGGAGCGAAAGCGUGGGUAGCGAACAGGAUUAGAUACCCUGGUAGUCCACGCCGUAAACGGUGGGUACUAGGUGUGGGUUUCCUUCCUUGGGAUCCGUGCCGUAGCUAACGCAUUAAGUACCCCGCCUGGGGAGUACGGUCGCAAGACUAAAACUCAAAGGAAUUGACGGGGGCCCGCACAAGCGGCGGAGCAUGUGGAUUAAUUCGAUGCAACGCGAAGAACCUUACCUGGGUUUGACAUGCACAGGACGUACCUAGAGAUAGGUAUUCCCUUGUGGCCUGUGUGCAGGUGGUGCAUGGCUGUCGUCAGCUCGUGUCGUGAGAUGUUGGGUUAAGUCCCGCAACGAGCGCAACCCUUGUCCUAUGUUGCCAGCGGGUAAUGCCGGGGACUCGUAGGAGACUGCCGGGGUCAACUCGGAGGAAGGUGGGGAUGACGUCAAGUCAUCAUGCCCCUUAUGUCCAGGGCUUCACACAUGCUACAAUGGCCAGUACAGAGGGCUGCGAAGCCGCAAGGUGGAGCGAAUCCCUUAAAGCUGGUCUCAGUUCGGAUUGGGGUCUGCAACUCGACCCCAUGAAGUCGGAGUCGCUAGUAAUCGCAGAUCAGCAACGCUGCGGUGAAUACGUUCCCGGGCCUUGUACACACCGCCCGUCACGUCAUGAAAGUCGGUAACACCCGAAGCCAGUGGCCUAACCUUUUGGAGGGAGCUGUCGAAGGUGGGAUCG
rnacentral:rRNA from 1 species